ensembl:lncRNA
AUGAUAAUGUGCUGGGUUGAGGUUCCAGUCCCCUCAUCAACAGUGAUUUGUUGGUCAUCUCUCCAUGUAUUGUGUCCUGCUGGCUUCACAAAGCUCCUGUGGCCUCCAGUGAUUGGUUGGUCAUCUCUCCAUGUAUUUUGUCCUGCUGCCUUCACAAAGCUCCUGUGGCCUCCAGUGAGAUCUCCUUCACCUGAGAGUUAUUGGGGAAAAUGGUAGUUAGUUUAGUUACUGUCAAUGCUUAACGGUACACUAUUUACAUUUUUGACACAGUCUAGAAUUAGCAAGGAUGUAAAGUAACACUUCUCAUAACUUUCUAUGCUAUUUAGUGAUCGAUGUACACUGAACAAAAAUAUAAAUGCAACAUGUAAAGUGUUGGUCCCAUGUUUCAUGAGCUGAAAUAAAAGAUCCCAGAAAUGUUUCAUAUGCACAAAAAAACAUAUUUCUCUCAAAUUGUGUGCCCAAAUUUGUUUACAUCCGUCAGUGAGCAUAUCUCAUUUGCCAAGAUAAUCCUUCCACCUGACAGAUGUGGCAUCUCAAGAAGCUGAUUAAAAAGCAUGAUCAUUACACAGGUGCACCUUGUGCUGGGGACAAUAAAAGCCCACUGUGCAGUUGUCACACAACACAAUGCCACUGAUGUCUCAAGUUUUGAAAGAGCAUACAAUUGGCAUGGUGACUGCAGGAAUGUCCACCACAGCUGUUGCCAGAGAAUGUAAUGUUAAUGUCUCUACUACCUUAAGCUGCCUCCAAAGUCGUUUUAGAGAAUUUGGCCUCACAACCGCAGACCACGUGUAACCACACCAGCCUAGGACCUCCACAUUCAGCUUCUUCACCUGUGGGAUUGUCUGACAUCAGCCACCCGGAUAGCUGGUGAAACUGAGGAGUAUUUCUGCCUGUAAUAAACCCUUUUGAGGGUAUUUUUUUAUUUUUUUAUUCUGUUUGGCUGGGCCUGGCUGCCAAGUGGUUGGGCCAUGGCUGCACCUCUGUCCAGUCAUGUGAAAUCUAUAGAUGUGGGCCUAAUUUAUUUAUUUAAAUUGACUGAUUUCCUUAUAUGAACUGUAACUCAGUAAAAUAUUUGAAAUUGUUGCGUUUAUAUUUGUGUUCACAAUAUUAUGUUCCAUUCAUCACAUUGUUUUAAUUGAGAAAAUAAUAGGAAAUUAAGUUAAUCAAGAAUCUGGUUAGAAUAUUUUAGUGUUUUUGCGCAAGAUAGCGAAGUAAUCAGAGACAUUAUUGCAUACUAUCCAAAAACUGACCAAGACCCAAUUUUAUGUAACAUAUAUGAACGGGAGCGACAGGAACGAAACUAUAUAUGAAAGGCGACAUGCCGCGCAGCCUUGGCCUUCUGCGAAAUGUACCUUUUUCCAUUCCUCUGUAUCGGUCUAGGAUCUUGCCAUUACUGGGACGACUAGCGAGGAUGCGAUCUCGCAUUGUCCUGUCUGCGCGCUCCCUUGCUACCUUCAGUUCAAGUAGCUGUAGUUUCCUACGCAAUCCCCUGUUUUCUUUCUGGCUUUGAGAAAUUUCCAAACGAAACACUGCAUAGUCGUCGUCUACGAGUUUACAGAUCUCUGCCACGGCUGAAUUUGCUAGCACUUCCAUGAUGGAGGCUAUUUGAGUGUGAAAAACCAUACAGUUAGCCAUUGUUAGUUCAGCGUCACCUAAAUAACAUCUAUCAACCAAGUCCUGUCUCCAACGCGAAUUAAAGACUACAUGUGAUGCUGUGCAGCUAAAUUUGUCAUAUUUGUUCGUCCCAUGUUGUUAAUUAACGUCUAAAUAACAACAAAAAACGCUAACGUGGAAAUUGUUCUUGGUCACUGUUCACUUCCGUUUAAACUGAAGAGAAAGGAUGUUAUUGGGCAACGUCAUA